AAAUUGAAGAGUUUGAUCAUGGCUCAGAUUGAACGCUGGCGGCAGGCCUAACACAUGCAAGUCGAACGGUAGCACAGAGAGCUUGCUCUCGGGUGACGAGUGGCGGACGGGUGAGUAAUGUCUGGGAAACUGCCUGAUGGAGGGGGAUAACUACUGGAAACGGUGGCUAAUACCGCAUAAUGUCGCAAGACCAAAGAGGGGGACCUUCGGGCCUCUUGCCAUCAGAUGUGCCCAGAUGGGAUUAGCUAGUUGGUGAGGUAACGGCUCACCAAGGCGACGAUCCCUAGCUGGUCUGAGAGGAUGACCAGCCACACUGGAACUGAGACACGGUCCAGACUCCUACGGGAGGCAGCAGUGGGGAAUAUUGCACAAUGGGCGCAAGCCUGAUGCAGCCAUGCCGCGUGUAUGAAGAAGGCCUUCGGGUUGUAAAGUACUUUCAGCGGGGAGGAAGGUGUUGUGGUUAAUAACCUCAGCAAUUGACGUUACCCGCAGAAGAAGCACCGGCUAACUCCGUGCCAGCAGCCGCGGUAAUACGGAGGGUGCAAG
rnacentral:rRNA from 1 species